AGUGAACGCUGGCGGUAGGCCUAACACAUGCAAGUCGAACGGCAGCACAGUAAGAGCUUGCUCUUACGGGUGGCGAGUGGCGGACGGGUGAGGAAUACAUCGGAAUCUACUUUUUCGUGGGGGAUAACGUAGGGAAACUUACGCUAAUACCGCAUACGACCUACGGGUGAAAGCAGGGGAUCUUCGGACCUUGCGCGAUUGAAUGAGCCGAUGUCGGAUUAGCUAGUUGGCGGGGUAAAGGCCCACCAAGGCGACGAUCCGUAGCUGGUCUGAGAGGAUGAUCAGCCACACUGGAACUGAGACACGGUCCAUACUCCUACGGGAGGCAGCAGUGGGGAAUAGUGGACAAUGGGCGCAAGCCUGAUCCAGCCAUACCGCGUGGGUGAAGAAGGCCUUCGGGUUGUAAAGCCCUUUUGUUGGGAAAGAAAAGCAGCAGGUUAAUACCCCGCUGUUCUGACGGUACCCAAAGAAUAAGCACCGGCUAACUUCGUG
rnacentral:rRNA from 1 species